rnacentral:sRNA from 1 species
CUAAAUUCCCCAAGCCUAGUCUGGUAGUAAACAAUGGUCGAAUCAUAAAAGAAGGAGAUUCAGAUAACGUAGAAAUCGCCUGCCGAUUUCCAUCACUUAUAGUAACUCGAGGGACACUCAUCUGUUUGGGGAAGACUGUAACAUCCAAUGGGACUAACAUUAUAGUCCACACAAAUGUAACGAGGUUACAAAAUGGUGCUACCUGUCAUUGCUACGCUCAAUAUAGCGAGGACUGUAAUUUUCAGGGAACAGCUACAGCUGUAUUAAAUGUUACAUACCAGGCUAACAUUUCUACGUUCAUAGUGAAUGAUAACAAAUCAAGUCUCGAAGUUUCUGAGGGAGAAGAUGUCAGAUUUCAAAUAAUUGCAACGGGCAACCCAAAGCCAACUAUGCAUAUAGAAACAGAAGAGAUUAAAGAUUAUUUCGACAAGCGUGUUUACACAAAUACGAUUGCAGAAAUACGUCCGAAUGUUUGGCAGCUCCUGUUUGAAAUAAAAAAUAUAAGCUGUGAACAGUCUUCCAAUUAUACAAGUACCGUGACCAACAUGUUUUUUUACAAAAUUGCAAGGUGGACUGUUUCCGUUAUAGUAAAAUGCAGUUUAAAAUGGUGGGACCAAAAACUCAACUGGAAUAAAGUAUCAGUGCAUCCAAGACAUUUAGCUGCAUUCUCUUUAAAGAUUUUAGGUUACCCAAAGCCCAAAACAUUUACGCUUCUUUAUGGUGUAAACAAACAGCUAGCCAACUUUAAUUCCUACUCAGUUGUGUAUGAAGAAAAAACUCCGUUUUUUCGGAAUAUUGCUGUUUCUCAUAGACGACGUUAAAGAAGACAACUUCACUGUAUACACUAUUAAUAUCAGCAACGGAAUCGAGCCUGUCCUUCAAGACAAUUUCGUUUUAAUUAAU